GAUGAACGCUGGCGGCGUGCCUAAUACAUGCAAGUCGAGCGAAUGGAUUAAGAGCUUGCUCUUAUGAAGUUAGCGGCGGACGGGUGAGUAACACGUGGGUAACCUGCCCAUAAGACUGGGAUAACUCCGGGAAACCGGGGCUAAUACCGGAUAACAUUUUGAACCGCAUGGUUCGAAAUUGAAAGGCGGCUUCGGCUGUCACUUAUGGAUGGACCCGCGUCGCAUUAGCUAGUUGGUGAGGUAACGGCUCACCAAGGCAACGAUGCGUAGCCGACCUGAGAGGGUGAGCGGCCACACUGGGACUGAGACACGGCCCAGACUCCUACGGGAGGCAGCAGUAGGGAAUCUUCCGCAAUGGACGAAAGUCUGACGGAGCAACGCCGCGUGAGUGAUGAAGGCUUUCGAGUCGUAAAACUCUGUUGUUAGGGAAGAACAAGUGCUAGUUGAAUAAGCUGGCACCUUGACGGUACCUAACCAGAAAGCCACGGCUAACUACGUGCCAGCCGCCGCGGUAA
rnacentral:rRNA from 1 species